GAUGAACGCUGGCGGCGUGCUUAACACAUGCAAGUCGAACGAAGCACUUUAUUUGAUUUCCUUCGGGACUGAUUAUUUUGUGACUGAGUGGCGGACGGGUGAGUAACGCGUGGGUAACCUGCCUUGUACAGGGGGAUAACAGUUGGAAACGGCUGCUAAUACCGCAUAAGCGCACAGCAUCGCAUGAUGCAGUGUGAAAAACUCCGGUGGUAUAAGAUGGACCCGCGUUGGAUUAGCUAGUUGGUGAGGUAACGGCCCACCAAGGCGACGAUCCAUAGCCGACCUGAGAGGGUGACCGGCCACAUUGGGACUGAGACACGGCCCAAACUCCUACGGGAGGCAGCAGUGGGGAAUAUUGCACAAUGGGCGAAAGCCUGAUGCAGCGACGCCGCGUGAGCGAAGAAGUAUUUCGGUAUGUAAAGCUCUAUCAGCAGGGAAGAUAAUGACGGUACCUGACUAAGAAGCACCGGCUAAAUACGUGCCAGCAGCCGCGGUAAUACGUAUGGUGCAAGCGUUAUCCGGAUUUACUGGGUGUAAAGGGAGCGCAGGCGGUGCGGCAAGUCUGAUGUGAAAGCCCGGGGCUCAACCCCGGUACUGCAUUGGAAACUGUCGUACUAGAGUGUCGGAGGGGUAAGCGGAAUUCCUAGUGUAGCGGUGAAAUGCGUAGAUAUUAGGAGGAACACCAGUGGCGAAGGCGGUUACUGGACGAUAACUG
rnacentral:rRNA from 1 species